GACGAACGCUGGCGGCGUGCUAACACAUGCAAGUCGAACGGUAAGGCCCUUCGGGGUACACGAGUGGCCAACGGGUGAGUAACACGUGGGUGAUCUGCCCCGCACUUCGGGAUAAGCCUUGGAAACUGGGUCUAAUACCGGAUAGGACCACUGCCUGCAUGGGUGGUGGUGGAAAGCUUUUGCGGUGUGGGAUGGGCGCGCAGCCUAUCAGCUUGUUGGUGGGGUGAUGGCCGACCAAGGCGACGACGUGUAGCCGGCCUGAGCGGGUGACCGGCCACGCUGGGACUGAGGUAAGGCCCAGACUUCUACAGGGGGCGACGGGGGGAAAUGUUGGACAGUGGGCGCGAGCCUGAUGCAGCGACGCCGCGUGAGGGAAGACGGCCUUCGGGUUGUAAACCUCUUUCAGCACCGACGAAGCGCAAGUGACGGUAGGUGCAGAAGAAGGACCGGCCAACUACGUGCCAGCAGCCGCAGUAA
rnacentral:rRNA from 1 species